UACGAAGGGUGCAAGCGUUACUCGGAAUUACUGGGCGUAAAGCGUGCGUAGGUGGUUUCUUAAGUCUGCUGUGAAAGCCCCGGGCUCAACCUGGGAAUUGCAGUGGAUACUGGGGAGCUAGAGUGCGGUAGAGGGUAGUGGAAUUCCCGGUGUAGCGGUGAAAUGCGUAGAGAUCGGGAAGAACACCAGUGGCGAAGGCGGCUACCUGGACCAGCACUGACACUGAGUCACGAAAGCGUGGGGAGCAAACAGG
rnacentral:rRNA from 1 species